AUUGAACGCUGGCGGCAGGCCUAACACAUGCAAGUCGAACGAGUGGCGGACGGGUGGGUAAUGUCUGGUAAACUGCCUGAUGGAGGGGGAUAACUACUGGAAACGGUAGCUAAUACCGCAUACCAUCGGAUGUGCCCAGGUGGGAUUCGCUAGUAGGUGGGGUAAAGGCUCACCUAGGCGACGAUCCCUAGCUGGUCUGAGAGGAUUACCAGCCAACCUGGAACUGAACCACGGUCCAGACGCCUACGGGAUGCAGUCGUGGGGAAUCUUGCACAAUGGGAGCAAGCCGGAUGCAGCCAUGCCGCGUGUAUGAAGAAGGCCUUCGGGUUGUAAAGUACUUUCAGCGGGGAGGCGUUACCCGCAGAAGAAGCACCGGCUAACUCCGUGCCAGCAGCCGCGGUAAUAC
rnacentral:rRNA from 1 species